ensembl:lncRNA
AUUUACACUGGUUUUACACAGUUUUACACUGGUUUCACAUGGAUUUACACUGGUUUUACACUGGUUUCACAUGGAUUUACACCAGUUUUACACAGUUUUUUACACCAGUUCCACAUGGAUUUACACUGGUUUUACACAGUUUUACACCAGUUCCACAUGGAUUUACACUGGUUUUACACAGUUUUACACCGGUUCCACAUGGAUUUACACUGGUUUUACAUCGGUUUCACAUGGAUUCACGCUGGUUUUACACAGUUUUACACCGGUUCCACAUGGAUUUACACUGGUUUUACACAGUUUUACACCGGUUCCACAUGGAUUUACACUGGUUUUACAUUGGUUUCACAUGGAUUCACGCUGGUUUUACACUGUUUUCACAUGGAUUUACACCGCUUCCACAUGCUUCCGCCCGCCCCUACCAUACCCCCACACCGCAUGGCCGCGCCGCGUCCCCUUUUAUCGCGACACACCCACGACAACUCCCCCAUCCCGAGCUGGAACCACCCCCCCACCGUUCCCCAUCCACUCGUAUCGGGCUCCAUUUUCCCCUCCCGCGUGGGCCGGGGCCAGGCAGCGCUGCGGAGCCACCGAGCGCAUCCACCGGGCGGCGGCGGCGGCGGCGGCGGCGGCGGAGGAGGAGGAGGAGGAGGAGGAGGCCGGGGGGGGCGGCGGAGGGAGGGAGCAGUUGAAUUCAAACACAAACAACCGCAUGGGGCGCGGACCCUCCGCCGCUCCGCGCCGCCUCUAACGCCGCGGGGCCGGGGCUGCCCCCCCCCCGCCGCCGCGCCCCCCCCAUAGGGCUCGUUACCGGGCGCCGCCGCACCGGGGGGCAGGAGGAACCUUCGGGUCCCCUCCUCCUCCUCCUUCCCCCCCCCCCCCUCCCCGCGGUGCUUUGCCGUGCGGAUCCCUCCUGCUUUAGGGGUUCGCGUCCUAAAGUUCGGCUUUAACCCCCCCCUUUCCCUUUCCCCUUCUCCCCUUUCCCCCUUUCCCCUUCCCCUCCGUUGCACCGGGAGCAGCCGCCAGCGAAGAUGUCCCGGUCCAACCGGCAGAAGGAAUACAAAUGCGGGGACCUGGUCUUUGCCAAGAUGAAGGGUUACCCGCACUGGCCCGCCCGGAUUGACGAGAUGCCGGAAGCCGCCGUCAAAUCCUCCUCCAACAAAUACCAAGUGUUCUUCUUCGGGACCCACGAGACAGCGUUCCUGGGGCCCAAAGACCUCUUCCCCUACGAGGAAUGCAAGGAGAAGUUUGGGAAGCCCAACAAGCGGAAAGGCUUCAGCGAAGGCUUGUGGGAGAUCGAGAACAACCCAACAGUCAAAGCCUCUGGCUACCAGCCCACCCAGAAGAAGACCUGCCCCGAGGACGCCGAGCGGGAGCCGGAGGGCGACGGGGAGAAGAAGGGCAACGCCGAGGGCAGCAGCGACGAGGAGGGGAAGCUGGUGAUCGACGAGCAAUCCAAGGAGAAGAACGAGAAAGCCGGGAUCAAGAGGAAAGCAGAAGAUGCUUCCGAGAACUCCCCCAAACGCCCCAAGGAAGCGGAGGGGCAGGAAGGGGUGAAGAUGGACAACGAGGAGCCCCCCAAGGAGGAGCCGAAGCCCAACGCGGGCGAUGGGGAGAAGAACAGCGCCGCCGGCGCGCCCGACGCCACCGAGGCCAAGGAGACGGGCACGGGGGAGGUCAGAGACCACAAGGAGAGCCUGUAGCGGGCUCCCCGGCGCGCCGGUCCCGUCCCCGAUGGGCUCCUUUGGGUGCUGCUCGUUGCGUGCGAAGCUCCGGCUGAGGAAAAACCCACCCGAACCCGCGAUUGAAACCAGGAACCAAGAGCCGAGGAAUGAAUUGA